CUCAGGCUGAGUCUAUAUGCGCUCUACUGUGUGUGGAUGCAGCAGUGCCCUAAUUUCAGCACGCUGCAAACUGUUUUGUUGGGUUAUGAUAAGAAGCCGGCACCAGCAGCAUUUGAAGGCAUUCUGCCUGGACUGCAGCGCUGAGUCUGGAGCAGAGGAUCGUCCCUGUGGAGAAACGCGCUGCGUCGGGAUGUGAGCGUGGUUACAAACUCAGACAUCGCCUCCCGACUCGAAAGAAAAAGCAGCUGCUGUGGUUAAACAAACAGCGAAAGCAACAUGAAGGCAUUGGACACAGGGGAGUGAGGUCUGCAGAGGGUCUCUGGUGAGCAAUGUACAAACCCUGCGUCGCUCUGUGUCCGGGUCGAACCUGCAGCACCCAGUCGAAAGGAGAGCCAUCAUUAGCAUGCAGAGAGCUCGGAGGAGAAGCCACGGUUGGUAAUCACCUGGUUACACGAGGGAGGGAUGAUUUCCAGGAAAUGGAGGAUAAUCAGUGCUUUUCUUCUUUUUAAGAAGCAUUAUCGCGGGGCCGCCGCCGUCGUCGUCUAGAUCACUUUUCUACUGGUCCAGCUGCUUGUUGUUGGAGACACAGGAAACACUCUUCUGAGAAAUAACUUUUAAUUUCUGAAAAUCACGACGGCGUUUUGAAGUGGACCAAUAAAGUUUUGCUUCCCAGGAAGCGCGAGCCGUGGUAUUAUUAUUGGUUUACCAGGAAAUUACAGCCCAGAGCUCAAUAAGUGCUCAACUGAACCUCCUACACAAACUGAGCUGGACAAAAGCAAACA